AGAGUUGAUCAUGGCUCAGGAUGAACGCUGGCGGCGUGCCUAACACAUGCAAGUCGAACGAAGCAUACGGACCGGAGAUUCGUCGAAGGACCGUAUGACUUAGUGGCGGACGGGUGAGUAAUGUAUGAGCAACCUGCCUUUCAGAGGGGGACAACAGUUGGAAACGACUGCUAAUACCGCGUAACGUAUCGUGAGGGCAUCCUCGUGAUACCAAAGGAGCAAUCCGCUGAAAGAUGGGCUCAUAUCUGAUUAGCUUGUUGGCGGGGUAACGGCCCACCAAGGCGACGAUCAGUAGCCGGACUGAGAGGUUGAACGGCCACAUUGGGACUGAGAUACGGCCCAGACUCCUACGGGAGGCAGCAGUGGGGAAUAUUGGGCAAUGGGCGAAAGCCUCGACCCAGCAACGCCGCGUGAAGGAAGAAGGUCUUCGGAUUGUAAACUUCUUUUAUGAGGGACGAAGGACGUGACGGUACCUCAUGAAUAAGCCACGGCUAACUACGUGCCAGCAGCCGC
rnacentral:rRNA from 1 species